AUGCACGACUCCUGGCUGAAGGCGGCGACGGCGGGGGCAGGGAGCUUGGCCAUCGUGACCUGGGGAGAUUGGGAUUGCCGCACCAUACUCGAGUCAGAGUGCCGCUUCAAGGGGAUCGAGAAGCCGUCCUACUUCGAUCGCUGGAUCAACCUGAGGGUCCCCUUCCAGGCGGCGCUCGGCGGCGGAGGGCGGGUCACCCUUCAGGAGGCGGUCCGGGCGGCGGGACUGGACUGGGAGGGCCGCCUGCACUGUGGGUUGGACGACGCCCGCAACACGGCGCGGCUUCUUGUUGAGCUCAUGCUGCGUGGGGUCAAGAUGACCAUCACCGGCUCGCUGGCGCCAUCGCCGCCGAUCCAGCAGCAGCCGCAGCAGCUUCUCACAAGCCCUUGCGGUGCCUCAUCUGCGUUGGCGCCGCCGCCGCCGAUCCAGCAGAAGCAGCAGUCGCCGCAGCUUCGCACAAGCCCUUGCGGAGGCUCAUCGCCGCUGGCGCCGCUGCUGAUCCAGCAGCAGCAGCAGCCGCCGCAGCCUCACAUGAUAAUCCCCUGCGGUGGCUCGCCUGGGACGUGCUUCUGCUACUGCAGGGUACCGACCAGAGGAGGCGUGGUGUCCAUGCCAGGGCCGAUGCAGGGGAAGUGCUUCUUCGGGUGUGGCAACUGGACGCCGGCCAUGGGACCCGUCUGCCCCUACUUCGUAUGGGCCAACUGA
rnacentral:rRNA from 1 species